AUGUGCGGCACACGCCGAGGGGACGAGCUUUCUGAGGCUCUGCAACGAAGCUUGUGCAGAAUCUGACACAGAAUCACGCAAAUCCCCCGCACGCAUGUUGCCAAGCCUCGCGCGAUCACGACGACGAUGGGAUUGCUUAACUCACCGUUGCAUUUGAGCCGAGGAGGAGGAGGAAGAGCAGGGACUCGUGUGGCGCUGAUCGCAGAAACAUAUCCCUGUUGAAAUCUUUAAGUGUCGCUGUUUCUCGUCUUGUUUUGGUUUCAGUACUUGAAUCCCAUCGCUUGCUCGCGUUGAUUAGGUCGCAAGCGCUGUAAAAAGAAACUUGUGGGGUGCGGUGGAUUUUGCACUAUUGCCUUCCUUCAGAGCGACUUGCUAGGGAACCAGCUCGAGAAUCAGCUACAACCCAUAAGAUCUGCGUAAGGUAUCUGCAUUCGUCAAGUGAGAAGUUCACCGCGAGAUCUGGAUUUCUCCAAUCUCAGAUUUUGAGGUUACUCCGCGGAGGAAGGAGAAGGUUGGCAUCAUGAAGGAAAACGUAUUGUGAUGACCUGGUGCAAUAAGCUCUUGGAGUCGACCGCCUUGUUCUUCUCGUUCGAUUACUCCCUUCAAUGAGCUCCCUGUGUUUUCCAAAUUAGAAGACGAGCUACCGAAGAUGUCCGGUGUGGAGGCGGGUGUGGGUUGGAUGUUAUCGCCGCCUCCUAGCAAGGAUAAUGGGGGAGCCGCUCACUGUAGCCCACAUGGGCUGGUUGCUUACGGUGCAGGCAGCAGCGUGGUUGUGGUGGAGCCUCGAUCCAUGCAACUCGUCACGGUACUGCCCAUGCCUUCCCCCAAGAGUAUCUCUUUGCAACCAGCUCCUUUUGUGACGGCUGUGCAGUGGAUUCCAGAAGGAAUUCCUCGUGACCUCGCGGGACAGGAUGUCUCUACAGCUCAUCUGCAAUUAGCAGUGGGUGAUCGACACGGUCGUGUUGCCAUUUGGGAUGUUGCAUCAGGGGAUAUCAGCACAUGGCUAGACGUUGAUACUGAGAAGGGAAGACAAGGUAUUCAAGACCUAUGUUGGGUGUAUGGGCAGCCAUGGUUACUGGCGGUUAUUCAUGGUCCUACAUGUUUAAAUAUUUGGGAUCCUAGAACGGGUCGUUGUAUAUGGAAGUUCGACUCAGGUGGUGAGCUUCUCGGAUGUGUGAGAGCCGAUCCCUUUGAUUCUCGACAGUUUUGUCUGGUCGGGCUCCGGGGCCUACUAAUGACGAUUCUUGUAGGAGGAGUUCCAGAAUCUGAAAUACUCACCAAGCAGUACAUAAUCUCUGGGCAAGAUGAGAAAGGGUCAAUGGUUGAGAAAAGUAAAGAUGGAAGUGUCACUUCUGGAUCAUCAUCAUCUGGAGCACCUGCUCUUGCAUCCUCACCUGGGAUCAUUGUCCGAUGUAUGUACUCCAGGACUAGAAGAGGCUUGGUUUACGUAAUGAUGCCGCGUGAAAUAGUGAUUUUUGACCUAGCCUUUGGAAUGCCCUUAGCUACAACGUCCCUGCCACCCGGUUGCUCGAAACUUCUCGAUCUUUUGACGUGCAUAGAUGGUGACGUUCUGUAUUGUGCUCACCAGGAUGGCAAAGUCAGUGCCUGGAGAAGAAAAGAGGGUAUGCAGGUCUUUACGAUGUGCCUUAUGAGUACGUUGAUGCCAUCCAUCGGAUCCCCUGUUCCUGCACCAGCUGUCCUUGCUGUAAUUCACUGCCCUUUGCAGCUUCAAAUGCAGACAUCCUCCAACGAUGACCAGUCUGGUAGUCUGCAGGUUAAUUCUCCUUCGGGAGCCAUCCCUAUCCCAAGCACAUUUUCUCAAAAUGAUCAACUCUCCAAAGUUAAGGUUUCGUCUCCCCUCGAAGCCACGCUUUUAUCUGUUUCUGAUGAUGGACGAUUAUGGCGCUGGGUUAUCGAUGACGAUGGCACUGGAAGUGAGCCUGUAUCUUUGAACGGAACAAAGUUGACGCCCAGGGGUUCCGGAGAGCUCAACACUAUUGGGGAACCUUUGCAUUCCAUAUCAGAUGGCUUCAAUUCUGAAAUGCUUUUCAAGCUUGAUCUGACGGGACAGCUACAGCUUCUUUCAUCAGCUGUGUCCACUUUAGCUGUCCCAAUGCCCUCAAUGCUUUCUAUGGGUCAUGGGGGAGAAGGAAGCAAUUUUGGGGCAGUAUCAAUUCCCCUAACGGCAUUAGCCUGCCAGGGAGGCAAUCUGGAGCUUGUGGAUUCAGCUGCAAACACAAUUACUGCCUCAUUUUCUGUUCACAACAAUCAGCCUGUUCGAGGUGUUCGCUGGCUUGGAAAUACACGCCUUGUUUCGUUUUCCUACACUGAGGUGAAGGGUAAAGGGGGCGGAUUCGUUAACCGACUGGUUGUAACAUGUGUGCGUAGUGGCCACAGCAAAGUUCUUCGAGUGAUACAAAAGCCAGAGCGCUCUCCGAUGCGUGCUCUUCGCACCUCGCCAUCUGGCAGGUACCUUUUGAUUUUGUUCAAAGAGGCUCCUGCAGAGGUGUGGGCUAUGACAAGAACUCCACAGAUGGUAAGAACACUUGCUUUACCUUUCACGGUGAUGGAGUGGGCGCUUCCUCCGGCCCCAAAGGCAGCCGCUGCAGCAGCCGUCUCUUCGGCGAGAAAAUCAGCCAUGAUGAAAGAGCAAUCCACCAUUGCCUCAGCAGCUGCUUCUUCUCCUUCUCCCUCAAGCGCUAGUGCAGAUUCACAAGACUCUGAAAAUGCUGAAAGUUUUGCGUUUGCUUUGGUAAACGGUUCAAUUGGGGUUUUUGAGUUACGGAACAGACGAGUUCAGAACUUCAGGCCCAAAUGGCCUUCCUCUUCUUUUGUCUCAGCGGAUGUGCUAAUAACCGCAAUGGCGUAUCGCACACCUCAUGUGGUUAUGGGAGACCGAACAGGAAAUAUUAGAUGGUGGGAUGUAGUGACAGGGUUAUCAUCUUCUUUUAGCACUCAUCGUGGGGGCGUUCGCCGCAUCAAAUUUGCACCUGUGAGGAUUGGAGAUCCUACCAGAGGUCGUAUAGCUGUCCUCUUCAACGACCAUAGUUUUGCUGUGUAUGAUCUUGAUACCCAUGAUCCAUUAGCUCACACUCUAGUUCAACCGCACCUUGGAAGUAUAUUGGUGCUGGAAUUAGAAUGGUACCCGCUACGUGUAGACAAGAAUGAGCCUUUGCUCUUGUGCAUAGCAGGAGCAGAUGGUAGUUUCCGACUUCUGGAGGUUCAAAAUUUUGUAGGCGGCAAGUCUGGUCAGCUGGCAAAGCCAACGCAAUGGCAGCGUUACCGACCCAUGCCCUUGUGCUGCCCAGCCUUGCUUCCACCUCCUCAUGCUUUGUCUUUGCGCGUUUUACUACAGCAAGGAGUGCACCCUUCCUGGUUCACAGUAGAGACAGCAUCCACAGGAGAAGCAAGUUUUCAAAGAACUCCAAGUCAGGCUUUAGGGAGUCGUGGCGGGGAUUUGCGGCACUACCUUCUAUCAAAUCAAAAUCCUAUUUUAAGAGAGACUGUUUUUGCUGAGGUUUUGUUGAAAGCUUUGGAACCGUAUCGAAGAGCAGGUCAUUUGUUGGACGAGGAGAGGAAAGAACAGUAUGCAGCUGUGUGUAGGCAAGGCGUGGCUACGAGGUGUGCUUUCGCAGCUGCACAGUUUGGAGAGUACUCGGAGGCUGUGUUCUGGCUUCAACUUCCUCGAGCGCUCGCUCUCCUUAGUUAUGGUUCUGCUGGACCAACUGGAUUCUGGAGAACCACGAAGAAAGAACAUUCCUCUGCAACAGAGCAAAAGCCCCAGGAAUCUGAAGGCAAGGAUAUUUGCACGUCCGAGGUUCCAGUCAACAAGUCUUUAGAUCGUGAAAUGUCAUUCAGAAAUCCUAAAGUUGCUACACCAUAUUCUCCGGAGGGUGUUCUGCCUGGUGCUCCUUUUAAGCUGACACAUGGAUGCAUGGAUAUCUUGCCUUCUGAGCAAUCAGUAAUUCGGUCAGUUGCGCGGGAGCGAAUUGGCUGGCAUGAAAAGUUCACAGGAACGGAAGCCAAUCAAAGACGAGUGCAUGAGUUAAUUGCCAUAGGAGAUUUUGAGUCUGCUGUGACAUUGCUGCUGGCGACGCCUCCAGACAAUCCUCUGUUCUACAUGGAUGCGCUAAGAGCUGUGUCUCUAGCCUCUGCUGUGUCAAAAGGACUGCAUGAAUUAGCCGUGAAGGUGGUUGCUGCAAACAUGGUGGGAACGGAUGAUUCAUUAUCAGGAACACAUCUUCUUUGUGCGGUUGGUCGGUACCAGGAAGCUUGCUCCCAGUUGCAAGAUGCAGGUCGCUGGGUUGAUGCCGCAACAUUGGCGGCAACUCAUCUGCAAGGUUCAGAUCACGCAAGGGUCUUGGAGAGAUGGGCUCAUCAUGUACUGAAUAACGAACGCAAUCUUUGGAGGGCUAUGAUGCUAUUUGUAGCAGCGGGUGAACUAGUUGAGGCCCUGGCCACGCUCCGGGACGCUAAACAACCCGACACGUCGGCCAUGUUCCUCUUGGCUUGCCAUGAGGCUAAAGUAACUGCGAAAUCCUCUUUACCGGACAUGAUGGAACCAGAAGUUGCAGGUGGUGAUGAUUUGUUUGAUCUGCCAGGAGAUCUAGCUUACCACCACGAUGAUGUGCAAGCGGUGUGUGAAUACUAUGGGGAAUAUCAACGGCAUCUGGCACAUGCUUGCACAGCUAAUGGGACUAUCAUGGAUUAAUUUUGGUAAUAGCUUCAUUCUUUCAGCAUCUUGCCACUAGUAAUUAGCAAGUAAUUCGUUUUUGACGUUAUCGAGCUUGAGCAUAGACAGUGUAGUAGUGUUCAAAUCUAGGGCAGACGAAUUGGAUAAUUCUUUUGUUCAUUUUCAGCAGCUAUAAGGUCAACCACCUUCGGGUCUGUUUUAUCGUCAUAGUUACAGCUGAAGGUCGAAAGCAAAGGCUUUAGUUGCGUGAUCUCGUGUGAGCACACAGCUCAACCUCGCAGCAUACAGCUACCAAAAAGUCCGUGGUGCCUUAAACAGGAGCCGUUCAGCUAAGAAAAUCACCAAGGUCAUUUAUUGAACAAAGAUGGGGGUUGAAUGUCUUAUUUACCAAAGCUAUUAUUCAUUUUGAGUGCUUCAAUGCUAUGAGUGUCUUUUGUAGUUCCAUUCAUUGGCUGUGACAAUAAUGCUGCAUUAGAGGCCUUGUUCAAACGAGGUCGAAAGAUGUGAAAACACCAAUCUAUAUCUUUGAUGGGCCCAGUUCAUGGCUUAGCUGGAUUCCAUGCUGAAGCAUCAAUUAUUCUUAUUUUCUUUUGAA